AGUCAUGGCGCCGCGGUCCUUCCGCCUUCGCCGGGGCCCGCGUGCGUGCGCGGGUGAAGGAGUCCGGGUGACAGUACCUCCUCCCGAAGCUGUCGGAGACUGAUAUACAGAGGGUGUUGUGUCACCAAGCCUGAGGUGAUUGUGAGGAUGGAGCAAGGAACACAACUGUAGACUGUGGAAGAGCCUCCAACCCAGAACUUCUCAGAGGCUCAGACUCUGCAUGACCUGAUUGAAACCAACCUGGAAAAUCAGGGCAGGUGUUUCUGUAAAGUUGUAUUGGCCAGGAGCAGAACAUCAACUGAUGAGGUAAGAGACUUAGGAAAAACACGCAGCUUGACCUCUAAUGUUUUGAAACAUCCUAAAUAAUGGUGAUUAUUCAGCAGUGAUGCCCAGGGACUUUAAAAUGUGUGAGGUGCUUUGCCCUAGCAGGCCUGAGGCCUUGGCUCUAACCUGGGGAUCCCUGCAGUGUCCUCAGUAUUCUACAUUUCAUGAGGUAGUUCAUACUUCGCAGCAGGCUUUUGGAUUUAGUAGAGGUGAGAAAGCCUUCAACAAGGAGGUAAUAAUGGUCUCUAGACAUAGGAGGGCUUUUCCAGAAGAGACUCCCUGUAAGUAUAAGAAAUAUGGGAAGCGUAGGAAAGGCCAUCCUCCUUGUCUAAGAGACGGCUCACAGAGGGGAGAUUGGUGACAGCUCUAACAAAAGGGGGCAACUUUUUUGAGAAACCAACACAGUUCAUUUU